CAGUGUGUUAAAGUUAAAUUCUGUUAGUGCUGCACUAAAAGAAUUGUUAGUAAUAAGUCCAUGCAGCGAAGGAAUUGAACAAUUGUGGGACCAUAUUUGGGCUGAAAAUGGGUGUGGUACGGAAACCCAGAAAUAGCAUGAGUUCAACAUAAAACAUGAAUUAGAAUUCUAGUGGGGGAUCAAGUCAAGUCUAGAAGUGUUACAGGAUGGAAGAGUGAGCCUACAGAUGAAAAAACACUGAAAGUGCAUUACCAUUAAGGUAUGAGGUAAAGUAAUAGAGUAUGCAAAUUGUCUAAUGAGAAGUACCAUCUUGUGUGAAUGAAUCCUGUGUAACAGCAAUCCUUUAUAGUUCUGUUGUAGCUAGAAGCCUCAAAUAAUUCUGCUUCUCUUGCUAAAGAACAACUUGUCCUUUACACUCAGAGUGUUGGUGAAGCUGGGUACUUAAAGGGCCCUAAAGAUGUUUCACUUCACUGGCAUUGCAGCGAUGAACAUCAUACAUGGACUCUUUAGGAAAGGAUUUUCAGCAUACUGGGAACACAACUAUCAACAAUGCAACAUUCUACAGGUGCUAGUUUAUCAUUCAAGAGCCUUAUCCAAUGAAGUUAAUCUGCAAUUUGAAUGUCCUUUCCCAAGCUUCCACCAGAAGUUGAAUCUAUGAGUCAUGUAAGUUCCAUGAUCAACAAUUGAUGUGUUUAACGGUGUUGUUUUUCUUUUCUCAAUAUAGGUUAAUAGUAACAUUGGAUCU